rnacentral:rRNA from 1 species
UUAUUUUUUUUAUUUUUUUUUAUUAAAAUUUUUUUUUUGUUUAUUUUUUUUUUGAAUAAAUUAUUUUUUUUUAGUUUAUUUGUACUGUAAGGGAAUUUAAAAAUUUAUUUUGGAAGUUUAAUUUUGUUUAGUACCUUUUGUAUCAGGGUAAAAUAAAUUAUAUAAGUUAUUUUUUUUUCCCGAAUUUAAAAUAGUUAUUUUAUUUAUAAUUUUAUUGUUUAAAAAAUAUUUAUAAAUUUAGAUUAGUUUUGAAAUUAAAGUCGUUUUUUUUUAUAUCUGGUUAAUUGAGAAUUUAAUUUAAUUAAUGAUUUCUUUUUGUUUUAUUAGUUUAUUAAUUGUCAUUUUGAUUUCAAAAUUUAAGGUGGAUAAGCUCUUUAGAUUAAUAUAAUUUAGUUUUUUGUUUUGUUUAUGUAGGCUUAGAAUCUGUUAUCAUUUGAAUUUCGUUAAAGAUUGAACAUUAAAUUUUUAAUUGUUUAUUUUUUUAUCAAUUUGUUUUAUUAAUUUUUUUUUUUAUUAAUACUGUUUUAAUUAGUAUAUUAUAAUUAUUCAUUUAUGAAUUAGGCAAAUUAUUUUCCGCCUGUUUAACAAAAACAUGUCUUUUAGUUGUAUUUUAAAAGUCGGUCCUGCUCAAUGAAGUGUUAAAUAGCCGCGGUAUAUUAACUGUGCAAAGGUAGCAUAAUAAUUAGUCUUUUAAUUGAGGUCUGGAAUGAAUGGUUUGACGAGAAAAUAACUUUAUUAAUGAUUUUUUUUUGAAUUUAAAUUUCAAGUUAAAAUGCUUGAUUGUAGAAGAGGGACGAUAAGACCCUAUAGAUCUUAAUUUUAUUAACUUAUAUAUUUUUUUUUGUUUUUUUUGUAUAGUUUAUUUUAAAUUUUGCUGGGGAGGUAAUCAAACUAUUUAUCUUUGUAUUUUUAACCAUUAAUUUAUGUUUAUUUGAUCCUUAUUAUUUGGAUAUUAGAAAAAGAUACCUUAGGGAUAACAGCGUUAUAUUUUUGUAUAGUUCGUAUUGAUAAAAAUGUUUGCGACCUCGAUGUUGGAUUAAAAUUUGUUUAUGGGGUAGGUUUCAUAAUACUGGGUCUGUUCGACCUUUAAAAUUUUACAUGAUCUGAGUUCAGACCGGCGUGAGCCAGGUUGGUUUCUAUCUUCUUUUUAAUUAUUCUGAUUAGUACGAAAGGACUUUUAGAAUAUAAAAUUUUAUUU